rnacentral:rRNA from 1 species
AUACGAAAGUUGCAAGCGUUGUUCGGAUUUACUGGGCGUAAAGAGAGUGUAGGUUGUUUAUUAAGUCGGAUGUGAAAUCCCGUGGCUCAACCUCGGAACUGCAUUCGAUACUGAUAGGCUAGAGUUUGGGAGGGGUAAGCGGAAUUCCGUGUGUAGCAGUGAAAUGCGUAGAUAUACGGAGGAACACCUGAGGCGAAGGCGGCUUACUGGACCAAUACUGACACUGAGACUCGAAAGCGUGGGUAGCAAACAGGAUUAGAAACCCCGGUAGUCC